rnacentral:rRNA from 1 species
UACGAGGGGGGCUAGCGUUGUUCGGAAUUACUGGGCGUAAAGCGCACGUAGGCGGAUAUUUAAGUCAGGGGUGAAAUCCCAGAGCUCAACUCUGGAACUGCCUUUGAUACUGGGUAUCUUGAGUAUGGAAGAGGUAAGUGGAAUUGCGAGUGUAGAGGUGAAAUUCGUAGAUAUUCGCAGGAACACCAGUGGCGAAGGCGGCUUACUGGUCCAUUACUGACGCUGAGGUGCGAAAGCGUGGGGAGCAAACAGG